rnacentral:lncRNA from 1 species
UCUACUUUGCAACCAACAAUCUGUAGUAUUGGAAUUUGCUUUUUUUAGAGUUGUAUAUAGUCUGAGUUUCUCAACUGAAUUUUACAAAUUCUCAUUUCCUAAAUCAUCUUCUCUUUCAGGUUUCAACCGUGAGGAAAUGUCAUUCAGAUUUGGCCAACACCUCAUCAAGCCCUCUGUGGUUUUUCUCAAAACAGAACUGUCCUUUGCUCUUGUGAACAGGAAACCUGUGGUACCAGGACUACUAUCCUGCCUGAAUUUUAAGUGAAGCUGUAAUCAUCAGGAGCAUAUGGAUCAUUUCGAUUGAUGGAGCGGGACAACAAGGGUCCAUGGAAAUCCUGCCUUUUCAGUAUGCCCAAGCACCAGCCAAAUCUUGUUCCCAUUUUAUUCCAGAUCUUUUAGUAUCCUAUUAAAGCUAUAUUUUUUCCAACUUUCCCCUCCUGCUUUGUCAGUUGGAAUCUUGUUUACAUGUCUGUGUUACAAGGGUACAGUUAAGUCUAAAAGUGGUGAAUGAAUUGAUGGCCGAUGGAAAAAGAUUUUUUUUUGCCUGUUAGUUUUCAAUGGACAAGUCUGUAUUUUAAGGGCAGUAUAUUGGCAUCUUUACAUAAAUGGGAAAUUAUUAUUUUGUAUUUAUGAUGAUUUUCUUUUUUUUUUUUUUAAAUUUUUUUUUUUUCAACGUUUAUUUAUUUUUGGGACAGAGAGAGACAGAGCAUGA